GGGUCAGUGACUGGGGUGAAGUCGUAACAAGGUAGCCGUAGGGGAACCUGCGGCUGGAUCACCUCCUUU
rnacentral:rRNA from 1 species